rnacentral:miRNA from 1 species
CAAUGUAGUGUGGUAAGUGGUC